rnacentral:rRNA from 1 species
CCUACGGGGCGCAGCAGUGGGGGAUAUUGCACAAUGGGGGAAACCCUGAUGCAGCGACGCCGCGUGAGUGAAGAAGUAUUUCGGUAUGUAAAGCUCUAUCAACAGGGAAGAAAAUGACAGUACCUGACCAAGAAGCCCCGGCUAACUACGUGCCAGCAGCCGCGGUAAUACGUAGGGGGCAAGCGUUAUCCGGAUUUACUGGGUGUAAAGGGAGCGUAGACGGUUAUGUAAGUCUGGAGUGAAAGCCCGGGGCCCAACCCCGGGACUGCUUGGGAAACUGUGGAACUGGAGUACAGGAGGGGCAAGCGGAAGUCCUGGUGGAGGGAUGAGAUGCGUAGAUAGCAGGAGGAACACCGGCGGCGAAGGCGGCGUGCUGGACUGAAACUGACGUUGAGGCGCGAAAGCGUGGGGAGCAAACAGGAUUAGAUACCCGAGUAGUG